UACAUGGGGUGCAAACGUUGCUCGGAAUUAUUGGGCGUAAAGCGCACGUAGGCGGUUUGUUAAGUCGGAUGUGAAAUCCCUCGGCUCAACUGAGGAAGUGCAUCCGAAACUGGCAAGCUUGAGUACGAAAGAGGGUCGCGGAAUUCCCGGUUUAGAGGUGAAAUUCGUAGAUAUCGGGAGGAACACCGGUGGCGAAGGCGGCGACCUGGGUCGAUACUGACGCUGAGGUGCGAAAGCGUGGGGAGCAAACAGG
rnacentral:rRNA from 1 species